rnacentral:rRNA from 1 species
GAUGAACGCUGGCGGCGUGCCUAACACAUGCAAGUCGAACGAACCUAAUCUUCGGAAAGGGUUAGUGGCGCACGGGUGAGUAACACGUAGGUGACCUGCCCUGGAGUGGGGGAUAACUUCUCGAAAGAGAGGCUAAUACCGCAUAUGCUCGGCCAUUCAGUUGGUCGAGUAAAGCUCCGGCGCUCCAGGAGGGGCCUGCGUCCGAUUAGCUAGUUGGUGGGGUAAUGGCUUACCAAGGCUAUGAUCGGUAGCUGGUCUGAGAGGACGAUCAGCCACACUGGCACUGACACACGGGCCAGACUCCUACGGGAGGCAGCAGUGAGGAAUAUUGGUCAAUGGGCGAAAGCCUGAACCAGCAACGCCGCGUGAGGGAUGAAGGCCUUCGGGUCGUAAACCUCUUUUCUGGGAGAAGAGACAAGGACGGUAUCCCAGGAAUAAGUACUCGGCUAACUACGUGCCAGCAGCCGCGGUAA